AUACGGAGGAUCCAAGCGUUAUCCGGAUUUAUUGGGUUUAAAGGGAGCGCAGGCGGAGAUGCAAGCGUGACGUCAAAUUUCGGGGCUCAACCCCGUCUCGCGUCGCGAACUGCGUCCCUUGGUUGCGGGAAGGGGAGGCGGAACUCGUGGUGUAGCGGUGAAAUGCAUAGAUAUCACGAAGAACUCCGAUCGCGAAGGCAGCCUUCCGGCCCGUCAACGACGCUCAUGCUCGAAGGUGCGGGUAUCAAACAGGAUUAGAUACCCUGGUAGUCCGCACAGUAAACGAUGGACACCCGCGGUUUGGCCUGUAUGGCUGAGCCGCCAAGCGAAAGCGUUAAGUGUCCCACCUGGGGAGUACGCCGGCAACGGUGAAACUCAAAGGAAUUGACGGGG
rnacentral:rRNA from 1 species